rnacentral:rRNA from 1 species
AUGCUAGUGAAUUCAAACUAUGCUUUGUUUGAUUCAGAUUAUGCUAGUGAAUUCAGUUACUUCACCUCACAUUCACUUCACCAAACAGCGAGAGGAGGGUGCCCAAUGGCCCUGAUCCUAUCCACAACAGUAAAUUGUACUGCAAUUGGCACUGUACUGCAGCCAACAUCAGCAGCAGAGGCAAUCAGCAGUCGAGGUGGUCGAGGGCAGAGGCAAUUAGCAGAAGCAAUCAGCAGAGGCAAUCAGCAGUCGAGGGCAGGCGGCAGUGGCAUCAGUAGGUCUGCGUGGUCGUCUCGCCGCCGGGGAAGAUCCGCCUUGCCCUGCCUGCCGAGUUCUUCAAGAGGGGAGCGGCGACCGGGGUUGGCAGCGGCGGCUGGGGUUGCGGCGGUGGUGAGGAACCGGCGAGCAGGGCACGAGCAGGGCCAGGGACGCGAGCAGGGCCACGGGAAGGAGGCGCCCGUAGAGGUGGUCGCCUUGGAGGAGCAGCCUCAGCUGGGCGACGGGGCAGCUCGCGUCCGUGCGGGCGGCCCACGUUCGCAGUGGUGGAGCAACCGCAGGUGGGCGACGACGCAGGUGGUCGCCCGCUCUUUCUACGGCGGCUGCCGGCGGUGGCUACGACGGCCGCUUGGUCGAAGGAGGAAGAAGCAGAGAAAACCCCUCCCCAAACUCCCGACACAACCCGCACUCCUCUUCUUCUCCAAUCGACAGACCCCGCUGCUCCCUCACGGGCGCAUGGACGCCGGAGCUCCCCUGCUCAGCUUCACCGCGCUGCUCCCCUGCUCUCCCGCGCGUCCUCCUCCGCCGCCGCGGCUGCCUACGCCGUCGCUCCUUCCGGUCUCGCGCAGCUCCCCUGCCUCCCUUGCCUGCCUCCUAAAUCUCCCCUCUUUCACCCCCAAAAUCGUUUCUUCUUCCUCCCGUUGCGUCUCCUGCUUGCGCGCGACGGCGACACGUCCUCCGCGUUGCCCCCGACACCGGAGGAGGCACGGGGAAAGCAGCAGUGGCUCGCGCUGCGCUUGCGCCACCUCAGGUGCGCGUGGGCCUACGCGCCGGUCGCCGCCUCGGCCAUGCGCCAGUCCACAAAGGAGGAGGAAGGGGAUUCCGUUCGCCGCCUCGGACGUGCUCCUCGAGUCCCUGCUCUUCGGGCCCCUCCUCACCUCCCUCAUCAAGAAGCAGAACAACAUGGCGCAGCUUGAGAACAGCAAAUUCAGACUCACAGCAGCAGUAGCAGAGGCGGGCGGGGCAGGCUCACCAGCACAGGCGGGAGUGGGAGCGAGGUGA